UGUAAAAGAGGAUUGUCCUGAACGAGGACCCAUUAACAAUUGAAAAAUCGAAAACUCCCAGAGAAACUAAAACAAGAUACACCACAAUCCAAUAGGCUUUUAAAUCAAAGAAAUUAAACAGUAAAUCAAUUAAAAAAGGAUGGAACAGAAACAGCUGGGGUGAUCGAUCAUUGCAGAACAUUGAUUAGUACGUUUAGUUGUUUGUCUUUUCUGGCCGGUGAUGGACUUGGUUCCCCAAUAGAAGGCGAGCGAGAUUCAAGGAAAAAGAAGCAAAUAUAACACUGAAACAUUUACACAACUAAACGAAACACAUCAAUUAUGUCCACUAUCAGGAUGCAAAAGAUUAAACAAACCUUGUAUUUUGAGGGUUUGAGGUUGCCAAACUCACCCAUCAGAGUAGCUCAAACCUUUUGUUCUGUGUAGCUACCUAUACUUAUCGACUUCUCAUAUGAGAAAAAGAAAAGAGAUUAGGAAAACAGAAACUUUACAUUUGCAAUAAUCCUGUUUAAACAGUGAAAUACCUUUUUACUUUUUAUAGUCACUUCCAUCUAAAGAAAAACAAGCAAUGAACAUCCCUCAACAGAACUCUAUUUUCACUAAAAUCAUAUCCAACCUACUAACUGUUAUUGGAGAAAUGAGGUUUCUACAUGUUUCAGUCGGUGUAUCUCUACAUGUGUGUUACUGUAUGCUGUGAAGAUGUAGCAUUUAAAAAAUGAUACAUAUACAGAAGCACGACAAAAUUAUGCGACAAGGAAAAAUAUACAAUCCAUCAGGAAGGAAAAAGAACAAUAAACAAUGAAUACCAAAAAUAAAAUCUCAAAGUCAGCAAACCCUAUAAAUAAUGAUGUUUUAUACGACAAACUUCCAGCAUAUAGGUUCCCAUGGUUUCUUUCUAUAGCAUCAAAAGUGGCUAAUGUAAUUUGCGAAAAGCUAGCCCCAAAGGCGAGCUUUUGACCUUGUUUUUGCCCAACCCAUACAGGAAACUCCAGGUAUACUUUGUGUGCUUUACUCAAAUUGAUAGCAGCUUAAAAACUACUGGGAAUUAAAGUAACAAGACCUGAUCGAUACACACAAGAAAUUUGGUGCAUCUGAUUUUCAUUGCUGAUAUCCAAGACUUAGUAAUUAAUGUCUCUGAGUUUAAGUUUCUAACCAAAUGGUAAAGUAUCAACCUGAAAUUUCAGUUUCUAAGCUGUUGCCAUAAAGAUAGGCAUACAUAGAAAGCAAUUCGGCUCCUAAUAGACAAGCCUACAUUGCCUUAAUUUUCAAUUUCAACAGAAAAUGUUCAACAACAACAUCAAAAUGGCGUGCUUCUUAGACUCAGGCAACAACUAUCUUCAAAUUCCGUCAACGAAUUGUCUUGGAAUUAUGAUUUGCAUCCAAAAUGCAAUUCCCAGAAAUUAUAAAACAAAAAUCCAAAACAUCCAGCGUAAAUAGAAAGAUCAUUAACAUGAAAAGCAACUAGAUCUCAAAACUGGAUUCAAAGAUCACUCAAAUAAAUGCAAGAAAUUAGGGAAGAAAUAUGUAGGGGCAAC
rnacentral:lncRNA from 1 species